AGCCUUUCGGAGCUGUGCGGCAUUCUGAGCAGGAAUGGCAAUGUGGACCUCUGUGAUGGGACAUCUUGUGGGAUCUCACAGCCAGUUCUGUGGCAAAGGAGGAUGAAGGUUUAUGAGGACUCGUCAGGAAGCUGGAUAACAGAACGAGCGCAAUGUGCUAGAAGACCAGAAAAUGAAAUGGUGGAGUUUGAGGCUGGAUAGACAGUUUGAAAGUUAACUGUGGUUGCAUGCUUGUUCAUUUGGCUGGCUUGCUUGGGUACAAAUGAUGGUUUGAAUAAAGGUAUAACGCACGGGUCGCCUCAAGUGAAGGCACUGCAAACAAAAUGAUUGGUCAUUCUGAAUUUCCGGUCCUUCAUUCUGAAUUUCAAAGGCUCCUGUGACAAGUGGACAUGCAGUGACUGUACCUUUGUUUCUGAGGUGCCUGGAUGGAGGCUCAAAUAGAAGAUGGUGUCAGAUAUAUUGUGUUGUCAAAAUUUUACCAUUAAAGUGUAUUAUAACAUG
ensembl:processed_transcript Gas5 growth arrest specific 5